GACGAAUGCUGGCGGCGUGCUUAACACAUGCAAGUCGAACGGAAAGGCCCUGCUUGCAGGGUACUCGAGUGGCGAACGGGUGAGUAACACGUGGGUGAUCUGCCCUUCACUUCGGGAUAAGCCUGGGAAACUGGGUCUAAUACCGGAUAGGAGCCAUUUUUAGUGUGAUGGUUGGAAAGUUUUUUCGGUGUAGGAUGAGCUCGCGGCCUAUCAGCUUGUUGGUGGGGUAAUGGCCUACCAAGGCGGCGACGGGUAGCCGGCCUGAGAGGGUGGACGGCCACAUUGGGACUGAGAUACGGCCCAGACUCCUACGGGAGGCAGCAGUGGGGAAUAUUGCACAAUGGGCGCAAGCCUGAUGCAGCGACGCCGCGUGGGGGAUGACGGCCUUCGGGUUGUAAACUCCUUUCGCUAGGGACGAAGCUUUUGUGACGGUACCUAGAGAAGAAGCACCGGCUAACUACGUG
rnacentral:rRNA from 1 species